AACAAUAUCCUGACGCUGAGUGACUGCGCUCGGAGACUCCAGCAUCAGUGAUUUUGUUGA
rnacentral:pre_miRNA from 1 species